CAGCUAGCUAAGACCGUCACCACAGUGGGAACCAAAACGUCAGCCCCUGAGCUUCAGAUCCCAUCCUAGAUUGCUUUCUGUUGCUAUGGUAAACACCACAAGCCUAAGGAAUUAUGGGAGGGAAUGGCAGGAACUCAAGCCAGGCAGGGACGGAAACAGAGAUGGUGGAGAGAUCGACAAAAACUCGGACAGAUCCAGACCCUAAAUGCCUAAUAACAGCUAAAGCUACAGGAACGAAGACCCCAAACUAGCCCCUGUGAACUACGAGAGGGUGACAAGGAGAGUCCUCAGCACCGGCUCCACCCUCUCCAGCCCUGAGUGAGGACAAAGGCAGACAUGACACUGUCCUCCAUAUGACCAAUGAACCAAAUGGGGCUGCAACUUC